rnacentral:rRNA from 1 species
GACGGAGGGGGCUAGCGUUGUUCGGAUUGACUGGGCGUAAAGGGCGCGUAGGCCGUUUACCAAGUCAGGCGUGAAAGCCUCGGGCUUAACCCGAGAAUUGCGUUUGAUACUGGUAGACUAGAGUGCGAGAGAGGAAAGUGGAAUUCCUAGUGUAGAGGUGAAAUUCGUAGAUAUUAGGAGGAACACCAGAGGCGAAGGCGGCUUUCUGGCUCGCUACUGACGCUGAGGCGCGAAAGCGUGGGGAGCAAACAGG